GGAGGUCGCGACCUAGAAACCCUAUCCAGCCAUCCAGGAGCCCUCGCAUGCUGCAGCCGCCACUCGCAUUCUCCUCCCCUCGCGCUUCCCCUCCCGCCGCCAGUCUCCUCCGCCCCCAUCCGUCACAGCUGAUUCUAGAGAUAGCGCCAUGGCUGUAGGUGGGGAGCGCCCUGGAUGGAAACAAGAGGAGGCCACACUGCCCGCCGGAGCGAGGACGCUGAGUCGUCGUCUGCCUUCUCUUCCUUCAUCAGGGUGAGUACGUAGAGUGCUGGAUGUCAAUGAGUCCCCUAUAUGCUUGAGUAGAGUGAUGGAUACUCAUGAACGAGUUGCUGCAGUUGUUACCUGCAGUUGAAACACUUGAACUUAGUUGGAAACGGUGUGCAAAUGUGGAUAAUCUAUGGAAAUGGUCAAACCUAUGAAAUCUGGACCUUGGAUUUAAUCAUUUGUAAUAUGUUUUGUCCAUUAAUAAGGCCUACCUAGGAUGAUGCAGAUCCUAAUUAUGCUAUGCACCGCACCGGGCAUGGGUGGUACCUAUUUGGCCCAUUGCUGUAUGGGAUGAUUUGGUACAGAGAAAAAAUGUGCAUUGUUGUGCUUGAUAAUGAUUUGGAAGGUAAAUUAUUCAGCUGGUCGAUUUUUAGUGUAGACUUGAAUUAGGACUCGAAUUGAGGUCUGAUUCUUGUGGAAGUACCAUUAAGAGGUUUGAUUAUGGAAGGUGGACAAGGCCUUAAGGACUCUAAGGUUAUGUGAGCAGCUAUUGCUCUAGGAUAUCCCUUACACCGCAACUGGAAAAGCCCUUUGGUGAUGAUGAAGUGGAAUAUUUUAUUAUGCAAGAAUCAAGAUAUUGGACUGCAAAGUUGGAAAUUUUUAGUAGACUUUGAUUGGCAGAUAUCUGAUCUUGAAGACUUUGUUUGCCAAAUUAUUCUUAUGGUUGGUCUGCAGUUUGGUACUGGUUGGCAUACUUUGGAGUAUCUUUGAAUAACAGUCUGAUUCUAUAUUUGAAGCAUGGAGCCUAGGGGUUAAGCUUAAAACGAUCUCCUCUUUCAUUUGCGGUUGGUUAUUUCGAGUUGCAGAAUUACUAAAUUGACCAUAUGCCUAGCCUCCCAAUUUUGUAUGGGUGCCAAAAAUGUGGAUGCAUAAUUUAAAUGGACUGCAGAUGAAGGUGGCUGGAGAUGGGAAUAUAAAUCUUGUAUUUCGCAAGCUUCUUAUUGGGGAUGAAAAAUUCCUUGCAGGCAUCAGGUUCCAUGGAUGGUACGAGCAGGAGUACGCUAUGAGUUGGAGAGGGUAUCAUCAUCUAACAAUGCAAACUAUUGAUUGUGGAAAUGUUCCAUUAUAUUAAAAAAGCAACUAAAGGAUAGUUCCAUUUGACAUUAGUGAACCAAUGCAUUCUCAUGCCAUAGCAUCUUCUGAUCAGGUAUCUCAGUUUCUCAAAGCAUUUUUUAGCUGCUAAUGUCUUUUCUAUGUUAAAUUAUUUUAUGUACGUGAUUGGAUUAGCUUGGUCAGCGAAUCUUAUUAACCUAAACCUGUAAAUCUUGACCAAGACUCUGUAAGUUCUUGGGUCAGAACCUACACUCUCUUGGAUGUUUUAUCUGAAACAUGAUAGAUCAUGUAAAAAAAAUUGUAUUAUGUAAGCAAAAUUUAAAGCGUCUGUCUUCUACAAAUCCCUGGGAGGUAUCAACGAUGCACUAUUAAAAAAACAUCUGAUACUGAACCAUCCUCCAUGCACACCCUUUAUGAUUACCAGGACUUUCCUUUCUAUUUAUUGCUUGGGUGCCGCAUCAUUACAGGUUCACCAAACGAACUCGUAUUCAAGAACAGUGUUACCUAAUUGUUGCAUAAAAUUACGGUUUCAUGGUGAAUCUGUUAUGGUGGUGCUAGAGGGAUGGCGCGAGAGGGCCGGUCGGGGGCCUUGCCCACGGCCGGUGGCAAGA